rnacentral:rRNA from 1 species
UACGUAGGUGGCAAGCGUUGUCCGGAUUUACUGGGCGUAAAGGGCGUGCAGGCGGUUUGUUAAGUGCAGGGUGAAAGCUCCCGGCUCAACUGGGAGAGGUCCUUGCAUACUGGCAAACUCGAGGGAGGCAGAGGAAAGUGGAAUUCCCGGUGUAGUGGUGAUAUGCGUAGAUAUCGGGAGGAACACCUGGGGCGAAGGCGGCCAGCUGGGCCGUCCCUGACGCUGAGGCGCGAAGGCGUGGGGAGCGAACGGG